rnacentral:miRNA from 1 species
UUCACUACUAGCAGAACUCGGC